UAGGGAAUCUUCGGCAAUGGACGAAAGUCUGACCGAGCAACGCCGCGUGAGUGAAGAAGGUUUUCGGAUCGUAAAACUCUGUUGUUAGAGAAGAACAAGGACGUUAGUAACUGAACGUCCCCUGACGGUAUCUAACCAGAAAGCCACGGCUAACUACGUGCCAGCAGCCGCGUUAAUACGUAGGUGGCAAGCGUUGUCCGGAUUUAUUGGGCGUAAAGCGAGCGCAGGCGGUUUCUUAAGUCUGAUGUGAAAGCCCCCGGCUCAACCGGGGAGGGUCAUUGGAAACUGGGAGACUUGAGUGCAGAAGAGGAGAGUGGAAUUCCAUGUGUAGCGGUGAAAUGCGUAGAUAUAUGGAGGAACACCAGUGGCGAAGGCGGCUCUCUGGUCUGUAACUGACGCUGAGGCUCGAAAGCGUGGGGAGCAAACAGG
rnacentral:rRNA from 1 species